CACCUGAGCUGCCGCAGACCAGGCGGAGGGUCCAUGGUAGAGCAUCUGCAUGAGCAGGUCUGGCAGAAGCACAGUCGUCUUCUUAUUGGCUGGUGGACACGUGGGAAACCACUCUGACUGAUGCAGGAAAGAAGGGUGGGCCGGUACUAGAAGUAGCUGUGCUGGCUGGAGUUGGCAAUUCUGAAAGUGAUUGUAAUUGUAAUUGGGAGGAACCAUGAGGACAUCCGAGGGGGCUUUCAUCACGCUCUUGUGGCUGCCACUGCACUGGCUCAGCCGAGGAGAGAAUGUGGAGCAGAGUCCAUCCACCCUGAGUGUCCAGGAGGGAAACAGCUCUGUUAUCACCUGUAGUUACUCAGACAGUGCCUCAAACUACUUCCCUUGGUAUAAGCAAGAACUUGGAAAAGGUCCUCAGCUCAUUAUAGACAUUCGUUCAAGUGUGGCCAAAAAAGAAGACCAAAGACUCACUGUUUUACUGAAUAAGACGGCCAAGCAUCUGUCCCUGCACAUCGCAGCCACCCAGCCUGCAGACUCAGCUGUCUACUUCUGUGCAGCAAGUGCACACUGCGUCCCAGACAGCUGCUGCCUGCACCCAAACCUGUGACUGGGCAACCCCUGUCCUUUGACACAGAACUUCAAGUAGAUCGUUUGUGCUAUUGUUUGUCUGCAGGCAGAAGCUAAUGUGUUAGACAUUAAAGCAUAACUUAAGACAACUGGGAUCGAGAUGACCCAGACAGGGUUAAAACAUUUUCUUGGAUGAUUGCUGCUCAAUGGAAUUCUUGAAGGGAGUUAGUAAAGUUUUAUUUUGAAAUUCAGA